UUUUUUUUUGUAGAUUUACGUGUAAGUAGUGAAUAUAAUACUUAUAUGUUUAAGCUUACGGAAUGUACUUAACAUCAAUAACACCGAUUUUAUAAAUAAUAAUUAUUUGACUCUAAAAUAAUUCUUUGACUCUAAUAGUUUAUUUUUAAUAACAGGUGGUGCGAAUGGGUGGUAGUGCGAAUGGCAACGCUUGGCGAAAUUUUUGCUGUGCCUACGAAGCGAAAACUAUGAAGACAAGCUUGGGCGACCAUUAACGAUGAGUCUGCAAUGUCUUGACACUUGUAUAAUAACAAUAUUGUAUAGAUAAUAAAAAAUUUCUUACACUUGUGUUAUGAUAGUGGAAAUUCAUAGUAACAAAAUUGUUUAGAAUUCCCGUCCAUGACAUGAAGCGGAUGAUGACUGAGAGACCGAACAUUAAUUUUACAAGAUUAACCUAACAGUGGUAACAACCUGAACGUGAAAUUAAAAGAAAAAAACAGAUUGAAAAUGUUCUGAGAAAAGAAAUUAAAGAUUGAUGACAAGCAU